rfam:Biomphalaria glabrata isolate BB02 linkage group LG8 unlocalized genomic scaffold LG8_random_Scaffold4348, whole genome shotgun sequence.
AUGGCUGAGUGGUAAAGCACUUGGCUUCCGAACCGGUGGGUCCCUGGUUCGAAUCCUGGU